AUUGAACGCUGGCGGCAUGCCUUACACAUGCAAGUCGAACGGUAACAGGUCUUCGGAUGCUGACGAGUGGCGAACGGGUGAGUAAUACAUCGGAACGUGCCUAGUAGUGGGGGAUAACUACUCGAAAGAGUGGCUAAUACCGCAUGAGAUCUACGGAUGAAAGCAGGGGAUCGCAAGACCUUGUGCUACUAGAGCGGCCGAUGGCAGAUUAGGUAGUUGGUGGGAUAAAAGCUUACCAAGCCGACGAUCUGUAGCUGGUCUGAGAGGACGAUCAGCCACACUGGGACUGAGACACGGGCCAGACUCCUACGGGAGGCAGCAGUGGGGAAUUUUGGACAAUGGGCGAAAGCCUGAUCCAGCAAUGCCGCGUGCAGGAUGAAGGCCUUCGGGUUGUAAACUGCUUUUGUACGGAACGAAAAGCCCCGGGUUAAUACCCUGGGGUCAUGACGGUACCGUAAGAAUAAGCACCGACUAACUACGUGCCAGCCGCCGCCGUAA
rnacentral:rRNA from 1 species